ACCAGACUGAGGUUGAGGUGUGACUCCUUCUUAUACUUCCCCUCUCUGGGCCUCAGUUUCCCCAUCUGUACAAUGCCCCUCCCAUCUGUUGCACUAGGUGGAUGGCAGCCUGUGUCCCUCUCUGCUGUCAUUUUACUACGCAGAUCCUCAAACAAACUCCAAGAUGGGGGCAUCCCUUAUUAAUUUAUGAUCGACUCUUAUCAGGACAAAUGUGGAAACUGCUGACAAUGUGAGCCCACCCUUCUUUGCCACCCUCUCAGCUGCUUCUACAGCCUUUGUCCAUAGCACACUCGCAGCCGCUGUUGAUUACUGAGCCCCUGGACAAGACAGAUGCCCUUCCGAGCCCUGCGUGGAUGCUGAUGCUCACCCUGCGCCCUCAGGUCCAUGCUUGUUGGAUUUCUACAUUGUAGAUGAGGCAAGAAAGGCUUACUGGACUUCAGCAACUAGCCCUAGCUCGCCACAGGCUGGUAGGGGACAGAAAGGGCAAUCUAACCUGAUGUGUGACUGGAGGAACGUGUCAUGGAUCACCAAAGCUCAGUUGCAUUUCUAGACCGCAAGUAACCUGAGGCAGGGGGAUCAUGUUUUCUGCCUUUUUGGUUUUGUGCUAAGCAUAGAACCGGGUGUCUGAGGUGACUGAAGGGCAGAGUUAAUUGAGGGGAAGAAGUAGUGCCUUUCUCUUAUUGGGUAGUUAAGGUGGAGCAGCUCCUGCCAGAGUGAGGCCAUCUGGGUUGGCCGAUGUUUGUGUGGGACAUGUCACUUCUUAGAUUAAAGGAACCAAGAGAAGCCAGGAAUGAUGCAGGCCUGAACUCUUCAGUUAGAGUAUUAUUAUGAGAACUUGUUUCAGGAAAGUUUUUUUUUAAAGUAAAUAAUAAUUAAACAAAAAUCUUAUAUGCCUUGUUCUUUGAGCUGGAAGGGAAGACUAGAGAGACUGAGGGUGGCAGAGGAGAUGGUCAGUCCUGAGACCCCACCCCACUCAAACCUGCUUCCUUAUCUGGCUUCUCUGGAAGGGGAACAGGUCCUGUUCACGCAGGAGAGCAGUGUGAGGGCUGAGCUGUGAGGA